CGGCAGGCUAACACAUGCAGUGAACGCCCCGCAAGGGAGUGGCAGACGGGUGAUACGCGUGGGAACUACCCAGUGGUACGGAACAACCAGGAAACUUGGGCUAAUACCGUAUACGCCCCUAGGGGGAAAGAUUUAUCGCCAUUGGACGGGCCCGCGUUGGAUUAGCUAGUUGGUGGGGUUAAUGGCCUACCAAGGCAACGAUCCAUAGCUGNGUCUGAGAAGGAUGAUCAGCCACACUGGGACUGAGACACGGCCCAGACUCCUACGGGAGGCAGCAGUGGGGAAUCUUGGACAAUGGGCGCAAGCCUGAUCCAGCCAUGCCGCGUGAGUGAAGAAGGCCCUAGGGUUGUAAAGCUCUUUCGGCGGGGACGAUAAUGACGGUACCCGCAGAAGAAGCCCCGGCUAACUCCGUGCCAGCAGCCGCGGUAAUACGGAGGGGGCUAGCGUUGUUCGGAUUUACUGGGCGUAAAGGGCGCGUAGGCGGCCACCGCAAGUCGAUUGUGAAAUCUCCGGGCUUAACCCGGAAAGGUCAACCGAUACUGCGGGGCUAGAGUGCAGAAGGGGCAACUGGAAUUCUCGGUGUAGCGGUGAAAUGCGUAGAUAUCGAGAGGAACACCUGCGGCGAAGGCGGGUUGCUGGGCUGACACUGACGCUGAAGUGCGAAAGCUAGGGGAGCGAACGGGAUUAGAUACCCCGGUAGUCCUAGCCUUAAACGAUGAAUGCUUGGUGUCUGGGGUUUUAUAGUCCCCGGGUGCCGUCGCUAACGCUUUAAGCAUUCCGCCUGGGGAGUACGGUCGCAAGACUGAAACCCAAAGGAAUUGACGGGGACCCGCACAAGCGGUGGAGCAUGUGGUUUAAUUCGACGCAACGCGAAGAACCUUACCUGGGCUAGAAUGCCUCUGACAGCCCCAGAGAUGGGGUCUCCUGGGUAAAACCAGGCAGAGUGCAAGGUGCUGCAUGGCUGUCGUCAGCUCGUGUCGUGAGAUGUUGGGUUAAGUCCCGCAACGAGCGCAACCCUUAUCAAUAGUUGCCAGCGGUUCGGCCGGGCACUCUAUUGAGACUGCCGUUGACAAAACGGAGGAAGGUGGGGAUGACGUCAAGUCCUCAUGGCCUUUAUGUCCAGGGCUACACACGUGCUACAAUGGCCGGUACAAAGCGCUGCAAAAGAGCAAUCUGGAGCCAAUCGCAAAAAGCCGGUCUCAGUUCGGAUUGGAGUCUGCAACUCGACUCCAUGAAGUUGGAAUCGCUAGUAAUCGCAGAUCAGCAUGCUGCGGUGAUACGUUCCCGGUCUUGUACACACCGC
rnacentral:rRNA from 1 species